rfam:Triticum aestivum genome assembly, contig: Triticum_aestivum_CS42_TGACv1_scaffold_556345_7AL
UACAUACUCCCUCUGUUCCGAAUUACUUGUCUUAGAUUUGUCUAGAUACGAAGGUAUAUAACACUAAAAUGAGUCUAGAUACAUCGAUCUAGACAAAUCCAAGAGAGGUAAUUCGGAAUGGAGGGAGUAUAUC